GACGAACGCUGGCGGCGUGCUUAACACAUGCAAGUCGAACGGAAAGACCCUGCUUUUGUGGGGUGCUCGAGUGGCGAACGGGUGAGUAACACGUGAGUAACCUGCCCUUGACUUUGGGUUAACUUCAGGAAACUGGGGCUAAUACCGGAUAGGAGCUCCUGCUGCAUGGUGGGGGUUGGAAAGUUUCGGCGGUUGGGGGUGGACUCGCGGCUUAUCAGCUUGUUGGUGGGGUAGUGGCUUACCAAGGCUUUGACGGGUAGCCGGCCUGAGAGGGUGACCGGCCACAUUGGGACUGAGAUACGGCCCAGACUCCUACGGGAGGCAGCAGUGGGGAAUAUUGCACAAUGGGCGGAAGCCUGAUGCAGCAACGCCGCGUGCGGGAUGACGGCCUUCGGGUUGUAAACCGCUUUCGCCUGUGACGAAGCGUGAGUGACGGUAAUGGGUAAAGAAGCACCGGCUAACUACGUG
rnacentral:rRNA from 1 species